rnacentral:lncRNA from 11 species
UUGAUUUCAGUGGGUCGGUUCUGGAUCAACGUAAUGCCAUCACCCCCAUUUCUUUCCAGCUGGAGCAGUUGAGUGUGGAGCUCAACUUGCAGAUCAGUGAGAAUAAAGACCUGUCGAGCGAAAACGAGUGGAGGAAAGAGAACCUGCAACAAGUGGUGAUGGAUAAUGCCUACUUGAAGAAAGUCAUGGCCGUCUUGUGGGAAACGGUCACAAGCCUGAAAGCGGAAAACGACAACCUUCGGAGCCGGCUGAUCGUAUUUGUCGAGAAGGAGAUUGCGGCCAAAUUGCCAAAAAUGGAAGAGAAGAAGGAAUACGUUGAAAGAGUUGCUCUGAACCUCAAGGAGGAAGCGGACCGGUUGAAAGCCCUGACGGAGGAACGGAUCCCACGGCUCUUGCCGGUCAAUGCGUCUCGCGUCCGGAGGCUCCAAGAAGCCUAUGAACAAACCACCAGCAGGGUCUGCAGCCUCUUGGAUGAAGUGAAGUACUACUUCCCCGUCUGGUUGAAGGACAGCGGCGACUACUACCUGAACAUCUCCACUUGCUCCGCCGACUUGCUGCAGGAGAACGUCCAACAACUGAGGCUGCUAAUGGAGACCCAGACCCUGGAGAAGGCGGACGAAUGGUGCCAGAAGUUCAGGCUCAGCCGGAUCCCCGCUCUGAGGGCCAAGCUGGACGAAUUCUUGGAGAACAUUUUGCAGGAUGCGUCCCGCCUGGAGCAAGAGCUUCACGAUAUCGAAGCCAAGGUGCAGGAGAUGGAAAGUGGUCGGCGUGAACAGAGGCAAUACGUGGCCAAGUGCAGCGCCGUCUUCUGCCUGCCGGACUUCGCAAAGGGCAUUCGGCGCGACACCAAGAACCUGCAGGCUUUGUUGGGAGUCCUGAAAUCCAAGUCUCAAGCACUCACCAAGGUGCGAUCGGAGGUGGUCACCAAACACGCCUGCGUCUGCUGGGAGGCCGAGGCGGUCAUUGUGUCCUGCAGGAAGAAGUCCCUUCCGGAGCAUCAAGAGGCCGAGGAGCUGCUGGACGAGGCGGGAGCAGCAGACGCCCGAGAGCUUGAAGAAGCCCAAAGGCUGGAGCACAACUUGAGCUCAGUGGAGCAAGAUAUGACGGCCCAGUUAGAUGCAGCAGCCGAACUGGAAAAAGAAGAAAUGGAAAAGCUCCCAGCUCAGGAUGCCAACAGCAGUGAAUCCUAAGAGGCAGCUUUUUCAAAACGAAACAAAUGGGAGGUGACUGGGAGCCGAUUAUCCUUCAAGGAGACCAACAUAUUGCUAUAUAUAUAUAUAUGUUUUAAUGCACCUGGGUUUUCUAAUAAACGUUACGAUACAUAUGCGGAAAGCAAAGCACCAUCGCUGUCUUGAAUGGCUCUUCCUUGGUGGAGUAAA